AACGAACGCUGGCGGCAUGCCUAACACAUGCAAGUCGAACGAGACCUUCGGGUCUAUUGGCGCACGGGUGCGUAACGCGUGGGAACCUGCCCUUAGGUUCGGAAUAACUCCCCGAAAGGGGUGCUAAUACCGGAUAAUGUCUUCGGACCAAAGAUUUAUCGCCUUUGGAUGGGCCCUCGUUGGAUUAGCUAGUUGGUAGGGUAAAAGCCUACCAAGGCGACGAUCCAUAGCUGGUCUGAGAGGAUGAUCAGCCACACUGGGACUGCGACCCGGCCCGGAAUCCUACGGGAGGCAGCAGUGGGGAAUAUUGGACAAUGGGCGAAAGCCUGAUAAAGCAAUGCCGCGUGAGUGAUGAAGGCCUUAGGGUUGUAAAGCUCUUUUACCCGGGAUGAUAAUGACAGUACCGGGAGAAUAAGCUCCGGCUAACUACGUG
rnacentral:rRNA from 1 species